rnacentral:rRNA from 1 species
GACGAACGCUGGCGGCGUGCUUAACACAUGCAAGUCGAACGGAAAGGCCCUGCUUUUGUGGGGUGCUCGAGUGGCGAACGGGUGAGUAACACGUGAGUAACCUGCCCUUGACUUUGGGAUAACUUCAGGAAACUGGGGCUAAUACCGGAUAGGAGCUCCUGCUGCAUGGUGGGGGUUGGAAAGUUUCGGCGGCUGGGGAUGGACGCGCGGCUUAUCAGCUUGUUGGUGGGGUAGUGGCUUACCAAGGCUUUGACGGGUAGCCGGCCUGAGAGGGUGACCGGCCACAUUGGGACUGAGGUACGGCCCAGACUCCUACGGGAGGCAGAAGUGGGGAAUAUUGCACAAUGGGCGGAAGCCGGAUGCAGCAACGCCGCGUGCGGGAUGACGGCCUUCGGGUUGUAAACCGCUUUCGCCUGUGACGAAGCGUGAGUGACGGUAAUGGGUAAAGAAGCACCGGCUAACUACGUG